rnacentral:rRNA from 1 species
GACGAACGCUGGCGGCGUGCUUAACACAUGCAAGUCGAACGGAAAGGCCCUUCGGGGUACCCGAGUGGCGAACGGGUGAGUAACACGUGGGUGAUCUGCCCUGCACUUUGGGAUAAGCCUGGGAAACUGGGUCUAAUACCGAAUAGGACCACGCGCUUCAUGGUGUGUGGUGGAAAGCUUUUGCGGUGUGGGAUGGGCCCGCGGCCUAUCAGCUUGUUGGUGGGGUAAUGGCCUACCAAGGCGACGACGGGUAGCCGGCCUGAGAGGGUGACCGGCCACACUGGGACUGAGAUACGGCCCAGACUCCUACGGGAGGCAGCAGUGGGGAAUAUUGCACAAUGGGCGCAAGCCUGAUGCAGCGACGCCGCGUGAGGGAUGACGGCCUUCGGGUUGUAAACCUCUUUCAAUAGGGACGAAGCGCAAGUGACGGUACCUAUAGAAGAAGCACCGGCCAACUACGUGCCAGCAGCCGCGGUAAUACGUAGGGUGCGAGCGUUGUCCGGAAUUACUGGGCGUAAAGAGCUCGUAGGUGGUUUGUCGCGUUGUUCGUGAAAACUCACAGCUUAACUGUGGGCGUGCGGGCGAUACGGGCAGACUAGAGUACUGCAGGGGAGACUGGAAUUCCUGGUGUAGCGGUGGAAUGCGCAGAUAUCAGGAGGAACACCGGUGGCGAAGGCGGGUCUCUGGGCAGUAACUGACGCUGAGGAGCGAAAGCGUGGGGAGCGAACAGGAUUAGAUACCCUGGUAGUCCACGCCGUAAACGGUGGGUACUAGGUGUGGGUUCCUUCCUUGGGAUCCGUGCCGUAGCUAACGCAUUAAGUACCCCGCCUGGGGAGUACGGCCGCAAGGCUAAAACUCAAAGGAAUUGACGGGGGCCCGCACAAGCGGCGGAGCAUGUGGAUUAAUUCGAUGCAACGCGAAGAACCUUACCUGGGUUUGACAUGCACAGGACGCCGGCAGAGAUGUCGGUUCCCUUGUGGCCUGUGUGCAGGUGGUGCAUGGCUGUCGUCAGCUCGUGUCGUGAGAUGUUGGGUUAAGUCCCGCAACGAGCGCAACCCUUGUCCUAUGUUGCCAGCGGGUUAUGCCGGGGACUCGUAGGAGACUGCCGGGGUCAACUCGGAGGAAGGUGGGGAUGACGUCAAGUCAUCAUGCCCCUUAUGUCCAGGGCUUCACACAUGCUACAAUGGCCGGUACAAAGGGCUGCGAUGCCGUGAGGUGGAGCGAAUCCUUUCAAAGCCGGUCUCAGUUCGGAUCGGGGUCUGCAACUCGACCCCGUGAAGUCGGAGUCGCUAGUAAUCGCAGAUCAGCAACGCUGCGGUGAAUACGUUCCCGGGCCU